GACGAACGCUGGCGGCGUGCUUAACACAUGCAAGUCGAGCGGUAAGGCCCUUUCGGGGGUACACGAGCGGCGAACGGGUGAGUAACACGUGGGUGACCUGCCCUCAGCUCUGGGAUAAGCCUGGGAAACCGGGUCUAAUACCGGAUAUGACUCCAUGACGCAUGUUGUGGGGUGGAAAGCCUUGUGCGGCUGAGGAUGGGCCCGCGGCCUAUCAGCUUGUUGGUGGGGUGAUGGCCUACCAAGGCGACGACGGGUAGCCGGCCUGAGAGGGCGACCGGCCACACUGGGACUGAGACACGGCCCAGACUCCUACGGGAGGCAGCAGUGGGGAAUCUUGCGCAACGGGCGAAAGCCUGACGCAGCGACGCCGCGUGAGGGAUGACG
rnacentral:rRNA from 1 species